ACGCUGGCGGCGUGCUUAACACAUGCAAGUCGAACGAAGCUGUUGUUUGGAGACCUUCGGGUGGAAGAAUGACAGACUGAGUGGCGGACGGGUGAGUAACGCGUGGGUAACCUACCUUGCACAGGGGGACAACAGUUGGAAACGACUGCUAAUACCGCAUAAGACCACAGUACCGCAUGGUACAGGGGUAAAAACUGGGGUGGUGCAAGAUGGACCCGCGUCUGAUUAGCUAGUUGGUGGGGUAAAGGCCUACCAAGGCGACGAUCAGUAGCCGACCUGAGAGGGUGAUCGGCCACAUUGGGACUGAGACACGGCCCAAACUCCUACGGGAGGCAGCAGUGGGGAAUAUUGGACAAUGGGGGGAACCCUGAUCCAGCGACGCCGCGUGAGUGAAGAAGUAUUUCGGUAUGUAAAGCUCUAUCAGCAGGGAAGAAAAUGACGGUACCUGACUAAGAAGCCCCGGCUAACUACGUGCCAGCAGCCGCGGUAAUACGUAGGGGGCAAGCGUUAUCCGGAUUUACUGGGUGUAAAGGGAGCGCAGACGGCUUGGCAAGUCUGAAGCGAAAGCCCGGGGCUUAACCCCGGGACUGCUUUGGAAACUGUGAAGCUAGAGUGUCGGAGAGGUAAGUGGAAUUCCCAGUGUAGCGGUGAAAUGCGUAGAUAUUGGGAGGAACACCGGUGGCGAAGGCGGCUUACUGGACGAUAACUGACGUUGAGGCUCGAAGGCGUGGGGAGCAAACUGGAUUAGAUACCCUGGUAGUCCACGCGGUAAACGAUGAAUACUAGGUGUCGGGGGACAUAGUCUUUCGGUGCCGCCGCUAACGCAUUAAGUAUUCCACCUGGGGAGUACGUUCGCAAGAAUGGAACUCAAAGGAAUUGACGGGGACCCGCACAAGCGGUGGAGC
rnacentral:rRNA from 1 species